UUAAGCAUAUCAAUAAGCGGAGGAAAAGAAACCAACAGGGAUUGCCCUAGUAACGGCGAGUGAAGCGGCAACAGCUCAAAUUUGAAAUCUGGCUCUCGGGCCCGAGUUGUAAUUUGUAGAGGAUACUUUUGAUGCGGUGCCUUCCGAGUUCCCUGGAACGGGACGCCAUAGAGGGUGAGAGCCCCGUCUGGUUGGAUGCCAAAUCUCUGUAAAGUUCCUUCGACGAGUCGAGUAGUUUGGGAAUGCUGCUCUAAAUGGGAGGUAUAUGUCUUCUAAAGCUAAAUACCGGCCAGAGACCGAUAGCGCACAAGUAGAGUGAUCGAAAGAUGAAAAGCACUUUGAAAAGAGAGUUAAAAAGUACGUGAAAUUGUUGAAAGGGAAGCGUUUAUGACCAGACUUGGGCUUGGUUAAUCAUCUGGGGUUCUCCCCAGUGCACUUUUCCAGUCCAGGCCAGCAUCAGUUUUCCCCGGGGGAUAAAGACUUCGGGAAUGUGGCUCUCUUCGGGGAGUGUUAUAGCCCGUUGUGUAAUACCCUGGGGGGGACUGAGGUUCGCGCAUCUGCAAGGAUGC
rnacentral:rRNA from 1 species